UUAUGUAUUGUGAAGGUGUGCAACACUGUGAAGUGUCCUACAUACUUGAAACACUACAAUGGCAAGAUCUAAGGCUAUAGCUUCUCCUCCAUCCCUUCUUCUUCUUCUUCUUCUCCUCUUCCUGUGCGGCUCCCAUGCAGCGCAGCAGCCGAUCCGAGCCGUGGUGGUUCUCAUCAUGGAGAACCGCUCCUUCGACCACAUGCUGGGGUGGAUGAAGUCGGCCCUCGGCUUGCCCAUCGAUGGCCUCAGCGGCACCGAGUGCAACCGGCGGUCGGUCGCAGACCCCACCUCCCCCUCCAUCUGCGUCUCCGACGACGCCCGGUACGUCGACCCCGAUCCCGGUCACUCCUUCGUCGCCGUGCGGGAGCAGGUCUUCGGGUCGAGCAACAGCAGCGAAAGCACCGCCGUGCCUUCCAUGUCCGGCUUCGUCCAACAGGCCCUCUCCGUGUCCGAGGACCUCGCGGGCACCGUCAUGAAGGGGUUCAAGCCGGAGAACGUGCCGGUGUAUGCCGCCCUGACCCAGGAGUUCGCGGUGUUCGACCGGUGGUUCUCGUCGUUACCGGGGCCGACGCAGCCCAACCGACUGUUCGUCUACUCCGCCACCUCCCACGGCGCGACGUGCCACGACAAGGUGCAGCUGGCCAAGGGGUACCCCCAGAAGACCGUCUUCGACUCCCUCCACGACGACGGGCUGGAUUUUGGCAUCUACUACGAGAGCGCGCCGGCGACGCUGUUCUACCGCAACCUGAGGAAGCUGAAGUACGUAUUCAAGUUCCACAAGUUCGGGACGUUCAAGGAUCACGCCCGAGACGGCAAGCUGCGGAGCCUGAGCGUGCUCGAGCCGCGCUACUUCGACCUGCUCGGCAAGGCCGCCAACGACGACCACCCCUCGCACGACGUCGCCAACGGGCAGAAGAUGGUGAAGGAGGUGUACGAGGCGCUGCGGGCCAGCCCGCAGUGGAACGAGAGCCUGUUCAUCAUCACCUACGACGAGCACGGCGGCUUCUACGAUCACAUCGCCACGCCCACCGUCGGCGUUCCCAGCCCCGACGGCAUCGCCGGCCCUGCCCCCUACUUCUUCGGCUUCGAUCGGCUCGGCGUUCGUGUCCCCACCAUCCUCAUCUCCCCCUGGAUCAAGAAAGGCACAGUCGUGAGCAGGCCGCAGGGACCGGCACCGACGUCCGAGUUCGAGCACUCUUCGAUCCCUGCAACCAUAAAGAAGCUAUUCAACCUCACCUCAGAUUUCCUUACCCAGAGAGAUGCUUGGGCUGGCACAUUCCAGGACAUCUUCGGCGAUCUCACCUCACCAAGGACCGAUUGCCCUGAGGUGUUGCCGGAUGUGCCGCCUCUGAGGGCGACGAAGGCGAAGGAGCACAGAGUUGUGUCGGAGUUCCAGAGCGAGAUCGUCGAGAUGGCGGCUAUUCUCAACGGAGAUCAUCGCCUGACCAAACACGGGGACAAGACCAUCAAGCGAAUGACGGUGAGGGAGGCUGAUGCUUAUGUGAGCCACGCAGUUGCCAGGUUCUUUCGAGCGAGCAAAGAUGCCGUCGAGAAGGGAGCAGACGAAUCAAAGACAGUAGACAUGGCAGCAGCCAAGCAUGGUUGAUGGAAGGUUACAUGUUCUUGUAGUGGAGAUGAUGAGACUCAAGCAAUAAUCUUGUAGCUAGUAACAAGUGCUUGUCAUAUAGAGAGUACAAGUUUGCUUUCAGUGAUCCAAUGACAGUGAGCUUGGAGAUAAAAUUCAGAAGCUCCCUUGUCAUUUGCUUCACUGCUUCCUACUUACUGCGACCGAGAGGGAGUAGCAGAAGAGUGCGUUAACGCCAGUUUUGCUUUUAGCAGUCCUUGGGCGACAUGGGUGAGGUAUCAAGAUCACUCUUUUUACGGAUUUCUUAUUGGUUUUGGAUUGUUUUUUGCUGAUGAUUGCAGAAAGAUCUAAUCUUGAGCAAGAGGAGAAGCAGCUAGAGGAGGACGGGAAGAAAGAGUGGCGACCGGAGUAGGAGGAGGAGAAGGGAAAGAACGAUGGAAUUGGUGACGGGGGAAAAAGGAUGAAGAGAAGGUGGCAGAGAAGCCACCGCCUACCCCGCCGAAAAAAUGUCGACACGCAUUGUGAGGGAUGUGCGAGGAAGGUGCGGCGGUGCCUCAAUGGCUUACAAGGCAUAGAGAGAUCCGUAAAAAAAUCGAUGUUUGAUGUGUAUUUGGUCAGGUUUUUUAAAAUUGAUCCUAGAAUUGGAUCUUUUUGUGUUUGUUUGGAUCGGAAGGUGCUGAAGAGGUGGCGGCGGACAGCCGCACGCACCGUGUGGCGGUGAAGGGGAGGAAGGCCGCGGAGGAUCCGAUGAAGUGGUGGAGAGAGUCCAGAAGAAGAACGGAAGGAAAGUGGAACUGCUCAGCCCCCUGCCGCCACCGCCGCAGCCGGAGAAGAAGGAACAGGAGAAGCGAAGUGAGGAGAAGCACAAAGCAGAGGAGGAGAAGGAGGUGCGACAACCAAACCUACCUCUUCCUAAUUGUCUUCUCGGUCCUCCUCAAAACCUCUGCUUUUAUUUGAUGCAAGGCAGCCGCAAGUGAUCCUUGUUGUGCUCAGAGUCAACCUGCACUGCGACGCCUUCACCCAAAGAUCAAGAAAAGGAUUCUGAGGAUGAAAGGUUACACCUUUAAUUAGACUCCUUCAAAGGGUCCUGCGAGAACCAAACCUACCUCUUCUUCCCAAUCGUCUUAUUAUCUAUCUCUGCUUGUUUUGAACAUAUUUUGUAUUAAGGAGACUGAGAUGAAAGAUUACAUCUUUACAACCUUCUCUUUAUCAUUAAUCGUUUGAAAUAGUUCAUGUAAGACUCGAGAUUCUGAUCCAAAGCUUCGAUCUUUUCCAUUUGAUUUGGAAUGUAGCAAGAAAGGUGGGAUCUUUUUGGUGGAAACGGGGGUGCAGACGGCGGAGGCGACGGUGAAGGGCGUGUUCGACUCGGCGAGCCUGGUGGCGUACGUCCACAAGCGGCAAGCGGCGGUGGUGAAGCAGGAGACAGAGGAGAAGACCAAGGCGGCGGAGAAAGAGAAGAAGGCGGAGGGCGAGAAGGAUGUAAAGACGGAGAAUGGUUUGCCGUUCGAUCAGUGAACCCUUCCAAAUCAUUGACUAAUGCUUGGUGGGGGUUCAACAGGCUGCUCAGCUUGGAUUGUGGUCCUCAGGAUCAGAACACAAAUGAUUUCUUGCAGAUAAGCAUGGAUGAGGGUAUCUCCA